GCAGGGAUGCAGCUACAGAGAGUCCAGACAGCAACUCCCACCCUGCAGAGACAGCCUACAGCUCAGGGAAGUAAGGGAUGGGGGGAAAGGCUGCAAGGAGACAUACACUGAGACACUAAGGGACAUUGGGAGACAUGACACAGACACAUGCGGACACAGUGACCUUAUGUCUCCCAGCCAGUGUCCCUGGUGUCUCAGUGCCCCCUAGUCUCCCAGUCUGCCAGUGUCUCACUGUCCCCAUGUCUCCUAGUGCUUCCAUGUCUCUCAGUGCCUCAAGUGUCACAAUGUCCCUAUGUCUCCAAGCUAAUGUCCCUAGUGUCUGUGGCCCUGGUGUCUCAGUGUCCCCAUGUCUCAAUGUCCCCAUGUCCCCAAGUCAGUGUCUCUAGUGUCUGUGUCCCUGGUGUCUGUGUCCCCAUGUCUUCAAGUGUCCCCUAUUUUCCCAUUGUCCCAAUUUGUCCCAGCCAGAGUCCCCUAGUCUCCCAGUGUCACUGGUGUCUCCGUGUCCGUAGGUCUCCC